rnacentral:sRNA from 1 species
CCCAGAGGUAUUGAUAGGUGAAGUCGCCCACAAGGUUGACCGCUUAAUUACACCAACCUGCGCAGAUGCGCAGGUUUUUUUU